rnacentral:rRNA from 1 species
UACAGAGGGUGCAAGCGUUGUCCGGAAUCACUGGGCGUAAAGGGCGCGUAGGCGGCCUGAUAAGUAGGAGGUGAAAUCCUGGGGCUUAACCUUAGGGCUGCCUUCUAGACUGUCCGGCUCGAGCACAGUAGAGGCAGGUGGAAUUCCCGGUGUAGCGGUGGAAUGCGUAGAGAUCGGGAAGAACAUCGGUGGCGAAGGCGGCCUGCUGGGCUGUUGCUGACGCUGAGGCGCGACAGCGUGGGGAGCAAACAGG